CGCCCCGCUGCAGCAGAUCUCCUCGCCACCUCUGUGUGCCUGGGGCAGGGCUGAACUCUGUAGGUUCCUGCCGGCCGGCGGGCUGGCACCGCUGCGCCGGGAGCUUAGCUGUGCUGCCCCAGGGCCCAGGAGGAAGAUGUAAGUGGCGCCGGUGGCGCCGGCUUGCUACGGUCCCCCCGAUAUCGACAAAGUGCGUCCCGACCAAUAUAAGAACUAAUUGACUCCCCUGUUGGCAGUUGCAGUCCAGAUGCCAAAGGAGACUGAACUACUCUUAUCCCUGCAAAUGGUCCUUGCAGAUCAUGGCUGAAGCAUGUUAGUGGGGAUGGUGGUUAAAGUGCGGAAAUGUUAACUGCCAUGGAUAAUGCAUCCAGAAUGUCUCUACAGAUUCACUGCAGGCGAAAGAAAGAGCUGUUGAAACAGGUAUCUGGACCCAUAAUUCAAUUUUAUUCCUCUGUAGAAUCCAUUGAUUUUACUCAGAAAUGUAAACAAUAAAAAUGGCAUUUACUCAGAUAUACUGUUUUGACGUGCUCUCCGAUGACCCUGCUGAGCACUUGAUGACCAUCCUCAAUACUUAUAAGAUAGGACCUUGUACUCCUUUGCUAAGGAAUCAGGCUGGUUUCAUCCAUUAUUCAGCACUUG